GAGAAAGUGGCUGAGUGGUUUAAAGCGACAAUUUUUUCACAAUUUUAAAAAUAUAAAUAUCAUGGGUUCAAAUCCUAUCUUUCUCC
rnacentral:tRNA from 1 species